CAGUACCUUGUGCAACUAGCAUUCUAAAUAAUUGAGCAAAUAUGUUGAACAUUCUUACGUUUGAAGCGUGGAAUCAAGUGUAAAAUUGUUUUGAUUGAUAAUUCGUUGAAUUUUUCUCUAUUUUCUCAUGAUUGUAUCAUGUUGCAUUAUUGAGUGGUAUGGGCGUUUUGCAUCAUAUUCUCCUAUAAAAACGUAAACAUUCAAAAUUCACGCACAUACUAUUGCAAAAUAAAUCAGUAUUGGGAUAAUUUGACACUGGGGGAUAAAUUUAUCCCCCAAAAAAGAACGAACAGGCAAACCUGUCAAAAUCCAUAGUAAAAAAAUUGGAUGUCGCUCCUCUGGAUUAAUGGCUAGCACAACGUCAGAAUGCAUACAAAUGUCACGAAAAUCAAAAGGCAAAAUCGAUGGAAGCCUAUUUCGACAGAAACCUGCUCCAGCGAAAACUUCCAGAUGGUCCAUCAGCGCAGCAUAGUACCAACCGCCUUAUUUUAAUUUGUAUGUAUUUGAUUGAAAAAGACAUUUUAUAUUGAUUUUAAAUAAAAAAAAUGUCUCGGAGAAAGUUAAGAAAUGAUUUCAUAAAUGAAAUAAAAAUUUAAAAACAAAAUUAAA